rnacentral:rRNA from 1 species
GAUGAACGCUGGCGGCGUGCCUAAUACAUGCAAGUCGAGCGAACAGACGAGGAGCUUGCUCCUCUGACGUUAGCGGCGGACGGGUGAGUAACACGUGGAUAACCUACCUAUAAGACUGGGAUAACUUCGGGAAACCGGAGCUAAUACCGGAUAAUAUAUUGAACCGCAUGGUUCAAUAGUGAAAGACGGUUUUGCUGUCACUUAUAGAUGGAUCCGCGCCGCAUUAGCUAGUUGGUAAGGUAACGGCUUACCAAGGCAACGAUGCGUAGCCGACCUGAGAGAGUGAUCGGCCACCCUGGAACUGAGACACGGUCAAGACUCCUGCGGGAGGCAGCAGUAGGGAAUCUUCCGCAAUGGGCGGAAGCCUGACGGAGCAACGCCGCGUGAGUGAUGAAGGUCUUCGGAUCGUAAAACUCUGUUAUUAGGGAAGAACAAAUGUGUAAGUAACUAUGCACGUCUUGACGGUAACUAAUAAGAAAGCCACGGCUAACUACGUG